rnacentral:rRNA from 1 species
AAGCGAAGAGGCCACACCCGAACCCAUCCCGAACUCGGAAGUUAAGCUCUUUUGCGUCGAUGGUACUGCUCGGGUGACUGAGUGGGAGAGUAGAACGUUGCCGGCU